CAAGAAGAAAGAAUAUCGCGAAAAAACGCGACGCUUUAAAAUCAAUUCAAUGGAAAUCAAUUCUCAUGAGAUAGAGUCGCGUCCCGCCCUUCAAAACUUCACGAAGAUCAACUCUUGUCAUCGCGACGCUCUUUCCUUCCGUCCUUCCUCCUCGUGGUUCCGGGGUGUGGCGUGUGCAAACGGUCCGCGCAUCACGCUCGUGAUAACUGCCCCCAACGUUGUACGCGCUUUUAAUAGCCCACGACAGGCUGUUACCAGUGUUAUGACACCGCGGGACCAGUGUCGAGUUCACGUAGCCAGUGUCGCUGGCCGCCGGAAUUCGUGAUAGCGCGUCCACGAUAAGAGGGACAGGGAUAACCUCUCGCGUUGAACAAAGAGGGGAAGGGAGAAAGAGAAUGCUCUGAAAAGGAGAAGGAAAGCGAUACGAGAACGAGAAAAGGAUAGAUCGACAAGGGGAAAGGGGAGGGAGGGAGGAGGGAAUGGGGGGAGGGAGAGUAUACUACUUUAUAUGUAUAAAUGUCUACACACAGACUGCGCAUACACGUUCAAAGCACACAGAGCAGUGCACUGACGCUGAAGGGGGUAGAGUGGGAGGGUGGUGGCGGAGGAGGCGGGGGAGAAGAAGCUAGAGAACGGCGGGAAGAGGAGGGGAGGGCAGUAAAGGGGGGGAGGAGCGCGAGUGAGAAGGAGCGAGGGACAGCAGGGAGGGAGAAUAGGCGAGGAGGGCUGCAGAGGGCGGAGAAGCGUCCCACGGGAGUUUUUCGGCGGAUCGCUGCGCGUCUAGUGUGAUCUCUCGCGAGUAGUGGACUCGAUCGAUCUUAUUGACGGUAGCGAGCAAGCGGAGCGGAGCAGUCAGUGCACGGUGAGAGCUCCGUUCGGAAGAUCGCACACGAGGCUCUCUCUCUUUCUUUCUCUCUCUCUCUCUUCUCUCUCUCUCCUUCUUUUUCUCCUUCCCUUUUAUCACUCUGUCUUUCUCUCUCUGUCUAUCGGUGUGUCGUGCAUGUUCCUCGGUGUGUUCACGGUUGUUUCACGAGCGAGAAGCAUUCGCCGGGAAGCCGAGCCGCGCGAUUACACGCGAUAAUGAUUCAGUGUCUGUCUCUCUGUGUGCCUAUCUCUGUGCGUGACAAAAAGUUGUAGCAGCAACGUGAGAGUUCGAAGAAGAAAAUCCUAUUGGGAUAAUAUAAAGGAGAACGCGAUACGAUCGCUGCGUGAUCCACAACAAGACGCCAGAGUGAGUUUCCCGCUCUUUAUCAACCGAACCGUAUGUCGAUUCAAUUGUCGAUUACCGCGAAACGAGCUCUCGCGAACCGGUAUAUACUCCCGUACAUGUACAAUAUAACAACGUGUAUCGUUUCAAUUGAAGUCCUUGGAUCCUCAAGGCAACUUAGAGAGAUGGCAGACGCGCGAUAAACCUUUACGGAUGCAUACGUAGCGCAUGUAGACGAUUUUUCUUAAUCCUACGAAUUUAUUUUAAUUUUAUCGCGAUCGACCGAAAAGAAAACUGAUUCCCUUUGCUUUUCGAUUCGAUCUUCUCUACCUACCGGUACACAGAGCUGGAAACCUCAUUCGCGCGCUUUUAUCGCGAUAUACAAAUAUCAAACGCUUGGAAAGUAGAACAUUAGAAAUACCAUCACAUUUUUUUUGCCUCUUAUUUGUCUCUUACGAUUUCAAACUGACUUUCAAUAAAUUAAAUUGAAAUCUUACGUUUCGUUUCGUUUACAUUAUUUAACACGAUUUAACACGAGUUUUCGGUUCAAUCUCGAACGACCUUCGAGUUUAAUCAUGUCCCUUACUAAGAUGCGUAGCAAAUAACGAACCUAAACGAUCCAUCAGCGCGCGAAUCGUUCCGUUGGUCCGUGAAACGCGACGAGUUCGCCGCAUACCGCACGGCCAAGGCAAUGAAAUUACAUAAGCAAGAAAUUUUUGGCGCGCUCGCUCCUUUUUUUCUUCCUCCAAGGACCAACGCGAAGCGCGAAAAGGCGAGUCCACACGAAGCACGCGUGUGUUACGCAAUUGUUCGUCUAUCGUGCGGAUAGUGGAAUUCAGGUCAGGCGUCGUGUGUCCUAUUCGCUAGCUCAACCGUCGAAACAUCGCUAGUUCGAGGCAUCGAUUCUUCCUUCGUGACUACGAGGCACGAUCACGAAGGAGCCGAUGGAAAAAGGGCAACGAGAUUAGAAAUGAAUCCUGUUAGCUGGAAAACGAAUUACGACGGUAAUGCUCGUAAACAACGAUCAUAGAUCCUUAUCUCGCAAUACAAGGAUUAUUUAUGCACCGCAUAUAUAAAUUCAAGACAGCGUAACGGAAGAAUAGAUACGAUCUCUCUCUCUCUCCCUCUCUCCUCCCCCCUCUAUCCCAGUUUUCCCCACGCGGGGAAUUGUCUUAGAUGGUGGAAACAUGUGUGAUUGGUUGCGAAAAAGCGCGGGAAUCGAUUGAUUAUAAUUAACUUUUACAGUCUUAUAUAACCAAAUUUAUUUUUUUUUACGACUAAUCAAUGAAA
rnacentral:lncRNA from 1 species